rnacentral:rRNA from 1 species
AUUGAACGCUGGCGGCAGGCCUAACACAUGCAAGUCGAACGAGUGGCGGACGGGUGAGUAAUGUCUGGGAAACUGCCCGAUGGAGGGGGAUAACUACUGGAAACGGUAGAUAAUACCGCAUACCAUCGGAUGUGCCCAGAUGGGAGUAGCUUGUAGGUGAGGUAACGGCUAAACUAGGCGACUAUCCCUAGCUGGUCUGAGAGGAUGACCAGCCACGCUGGAACUGCGACACGGUCCAGACGUCCACGUGCUGCAUCAGUUGGGAAUAUUGGACAAUUGGCGCAACUCGGAUUCAGCCAUGCCGCGUGUGUGAAGAAGGCCUUCGGGUUGUAAAGUACUUUCAGCGGGGAGGCGUUACCCGCAGAAGAAGCACCGGCUAACUCCGUGCCAGCAGCCGCGGUAAUAC